UUUUUUUUAAAACGAAUUCUUAGAACUAAUAUUUUUUAAAAAUUUUUUAUGUGUAUACUGUAUGUUGUCGCAAUAAAGUCUGCUUGGCGAGAUUUGCGCCGGCGAAAUGGAAAAGUACCGAAGUUAUGUUAAAUUCAUUAAACUAUUCAAGCGUAUUUUCGAGUUAUGCACAGGUUAAAUAAUGUCAUUUAUUUCAGCUUCAUUCUUUGGAAAUAUUCUGAGAGCAAGUAGUCAGUGUAUCUUUUCAAUUACAUGCUUUAAUAUUUUAGCUAAAAUGGCAAAAUUGUUUAAAAGAAACAAAUAUUUUUAUUUCAUUCCUAUUAUUGUUUUCAGUCAAAGACAUGAUUCACCCAUUAAGUGUUCAUAACUUAUUGGGAAUGUAUGUGUAAUUAUGCGAUUAAACUACAGUUUUUUGGUAUUUUUUGUUGAUUAUUCUUAUAAUUUUUUAAAAUUGCUUGCAUUAGAGAAAAUUUAAAAAAUAAAUAAAUAUUAUAUUACAUUUUUAUAUCAUAGAUACAGUUGUUUGUAAAUGCAUUGAAAUUGUUAUAAAUAAUAAUAAUAAUUAGUAAAGUAAACGAAUUUCUUAAACGACUCAAAAAAGUGUAAAAUUUACGUUGAUACCUUGAAAUUCAAACUAACACCUCAAAGGCAUCACGAAUUCAAUUCCUUAAAAUGUGAAACAUGCGAUUUCAUAAAAAGUAUAAGUAAUGGUCUUAUAGUAAGAAAUAAUAUUUAUUCUUACAUUCGUAUGCCAUGAUUUUUGAUGGUAGGAUAACUAUAUUAAUCAGAUUCUGGUGUUUAUAUGCUAUGUACUCUAUCCAGUGAUUUCGCUGUCAUUUUCUAAUAAAAUGAAGUUUGUAAAGAUAAGUUAUUUCAUGAACUUGAGUUGAGUACGAAGUGAAAGUAUGAAACAGUAUGAACCAAAGUUUGCUGAAAUACAUUGCAUAUGUUGGUUCUUAGCUGAGAUAAUGUAAUGAAAGGCAGAUAAAGACUCACUGCCUCGAUGAUAUUAUGAGAUCGGUACUUCCUAGCUAGGGUCAUGAUGUCUGUGAAUUUACUUCAGAGAUGUCUGUGCAGGGACUUCCAAUAACUAGUCCGAUUUAUAAAUAACUUAAAUAUUUAAUGAAAACUUAAAUAUUUAACUUAAAUAUUUAAUGAAAUAAAAUGAAUAAUUAAUAGUUAUUACAAACUACGAAAUGAUUACAUUCGUAGACGGAAAUAGAUGAGAUUAUUUACAGAUUUAAAAGCUAACAUCUUAUGUACAGAACAUCGCCUUCCAUCCAUCUUAAUGGCGAAAUCGUCUGUCUCCUCCUAUCACAAACCCCCCCCCAAAAAAAGAGUUCUUUUACGCAGCUUGCCAUGCCAUCUCAUUGUUGUGGACAAUGCCAUCCUACAGUAAUUUGCUGAAAUAGAUUUAAUGAAAUGCCAUUUUAAUAUCAAAUCCUUAUAUUUCAAUUCUAGUAGCAAAACUAAAUCUUCUGUGUAAAAAAAAACAUUUAAUUCUAAAACGAAAUCCAUUAUAUAAACUGUUGUCACAAAACGAUAAUACAAUAAUAUGCAAAGUUAACAUUUAUAAUUAUUAAAAUAGAGUUACUUUUAAAUUAAGUAUUUACAUUUUAUGCUGUUACAUUUACACAUUUUAUACCGUUACACAUAAUAUAAAUAUUUCACCUUUCGUUUAAAAUGAAAAUAGUAUGCUUACGGUUGCCAUCUAUAAAACUGGAAUUCGCGGUUUAAAUAAAUUUACAUUGAAGUACCUAGAAUGUUACAUAUCCUAUAUUGUUACAAUACUGUACUGCUGUCUUAAGGUUUGUCUGAAAGAAAUUCUGUACCAAGACUCAUAUAAUAUGGAGUUGGACUUUAUUAUUAAAUAUAUUACUAUUAUUCUAAUAAUAUACAUUUAUAUAUAAUAACUAUUCGAGUGAUAUUAACUAUUUGAGUUAACUAUUUGAGUGAUAUUCAAGUUAAUGAAAUAACUAAUCUUUGCAGUUUGCAUUUUAUUUUCAAAUGUCUGUGAAAUCAUUGCAUAGAGCCCAUUAUACAUGAACACCAAAAUAUUAUUAAUAACGUUUUUCUGCCAGCAAAAAUGUCAAACUAAUAUUAAGGUGCAUAUAUUUUAAACGGCUUUUGUUGAACCGAUAAGCAACGUAAUGCAAUAAUUUGAAAAGGAAACAAAAGAUCCAAUGCCACGUGGAUUGGCAAGUUUCCCAUUUUGCGAAGACAAUGUUUUCUUUGCAAAGUGAAAACAAAAGCGUCUUUUUCCACAUGCAAAUAGGAAAAAUGUUUAAGAGCGUUUGAAAAAUUAGAUGAAAAGUAAACUCGGAUAUAAAAGCAUCUAAAUUUUUAAGUUAUUCCUGUCAAACUAAUUUUGAUGUUUUCAAAUAAAUAUUAUAUUCCUAUGAUGAUUGAUUCAUUUCUUAAAAAUUGAAUAUUGCUGAUAAUAGAAGCAAAAAACUCCGAUUCUAAGAAAAUCAAUCUUUUUGUUUUACCUAGUUCCAAAAUAUUAAUCUACUUAGUAUCAUAAUUUUAGCAACAUUUUAUGAUUUGCUUUAUUAGUGUUAUAAUAUUGAACCCAAUGAAAACUGUGAUGUGUGUCUAAACUUAUGACAAAAUUUAUGAUAAUUAUAUUUUACCAUAAAUAUAUGAUAAUUAUUAAUCUUAAGCAGAUUUAUGUAUGUCUUUUAAUUUUACGUUGAUAUUUUAAUAACAUUUAACAUAUAUGUACUAAAAUUUAUAACACUUUUGUGACUGGUUCGUUAUUAUUUUCAGUCUUAAUAAGCUUGGCGUAUCAUGAUUUAGUUAGUAAUUUUUUACUUUAUAAUAUUAGAAAUUUUCUAAUAUUGAAAAAUUUUGAUAUAUUAUUAUGAAAUUAUUAUACAACAAAUUAUGAAUUUAUUAUAAAACAAAGAAGAAACCACGGAAAGUAAUAUUUAUUGCUAAUAUAUAUGAUCUCUAAAUCGAAAGAUAUAGUUAUCCAAAAUGCAUAAUAUAUUGCGGCCAAUAUAUUUUUAAUUAAUUUUUAAGAUGUCUGAAAAAGUAUUCUUACUUUUAACAUGCCUUAGAAAUAAACAAAAAAGAAUUCAUGUUUGAAAAAAAAAAAAAAAAAAAAAAA
rnacentral:misc_RNA from 1 species